rnacentral:rRNA from 1 species
AUUGAACGCUGGCGGCAUGCUUUACACAUGCAAGUCGAACGGUAACAGGCCGCAAGGUGCUGACGAGUGGCGAACGGGUGAGUAAUGCAUCGGAACGUGCCCAGUCGUGGGGGAUAACGCAGCGAAAGCUGCGCUAAUACCGCAUACGAUCUAUGGAUGAAAGCGGGGGACCGUAAGGCCUCGCGCGAUUGGAGCGGCCGAUGUCAGAUUAGGUAGUUGGCGGGGUAAAGGCUCACCAAGCCGACGAUCUGUAGCUGGUCUGAGAGGACGACCAGCCACACUGGGACUGAGACACGGCCCAGACUCCUACGGGAGGCAGCAGUGGGGAAUUUUGGACAAUGGGCGCAAGCCUGAUCCAGCAAUGCCGCGUGCAGGAAGAAGGCCUUCGGGUUGUAAACUGCUUUUGUACGGAACGAAACGGCUCUGGUUAAUACCUGGGGCUAAUGACGGUACCGUAAGAAUAAGCACCGGCUAACUACGUGCCAGCAGCCGCAGUAAAAC